CUUCGUCAACUUCUGUUUGGUUGCCGAGGAAAUUUAAUUACUUCUUGGAUUUUGAUAUUCUCGUCCUUUUGAUUCUAUUGAUAGAUUUUAGUUUCGUGAUCAGCGGAUAAUCUUGUGUUUGCAGAAUUUCUGAUAAAAAUUAUGACUAGGAGCCGUUUCAAGCAAGAGCAUGAUUUUGAGAAGAGGAGGGCUGAAGCUGCGAGAAUCAGGGAGAAAUACCCGGACAGGAUUCCGGUAAUUGUGGAGAAGGCUGAGAGAAGCGAUAUUCCCAACAUUGACAAGAUAAAGUACCUAGUCCCGGCUGACCUGACAGUCGGUCAAUUUGUUUAUGUGAUCCGGAAGAGAAUUAAACUGAGUGCAGAAAAGGCAAUUUUUAUAUUUGUGGACAAUGUCCUCCCACCAACUGGAGCAAUAAUGUCGUCAAUCUAUGAUGAAAAGAAGGAUGAGGAUGCAUUUCUCUAUGUCACGUACAGUGGGGAAAACACAUUUGGGUGCCAGAUGUUGCCAUAGCCAAGUUCUUUCAGUGUCUUCCAUUCUUUGUCAUUACAAGUUAAAAUCUAUCUCUCGUUUCCUAGGACUUGAACAGUCCUGGUAUUAUGCCCUGUGAUUUAUGGCCUUGUUGCCUUUCUUGUACAUGUGUGCAGCUCUUCGGAAAUUGAAAUGGUGUCAACUACUGAAAGUAAUUAAAAAUUUCGAAACAUGUUUUCUUUU